AAGGGGGUCGGUAGGAGGGAGUUGCGCUCUUCUCGGCGGUGCCGAGCAAGAGGAUGAGUCCUUUCCCCCUGAUUUCUCCCAGGCUGCGCCUUCUCGUUCUUUCAGCCGGCGGUGUGCCCUUGCGGCCGGGAGCGCCCGCGGAAGCCUGGGAUGCACUAGGAAGAACGCUGCCAGCAGGUCGAGGGACGUGAUCCUGCACCUCGGGCCCAGUGAGGCCGCAUCUGGACUGCUGUGUUCACUUCUGGUCUCCACAGCUCAAAAAGGACAUGGAGGUACUGCAGAGGGUCCAGCAGAGGCCACAAAGAUGAUGAGGGGUCUGGAGAAUCUCCCUCAUGAGGGGAGACUGUGGGAGCUGGACUUAUUUAGUCUAGAGAAGCCUGAAAGGGGACCUUAAUGCAUAUAAUAUCUCAAAGGUGGGUGCCUAGAGGAAGGUGUCAGAAUCUUUUUCAGUGGUGCUCAGUGACAAGACAAGGAGUAGUGGCCAUAAACUAAAACACAAGAAGUUCCACCUCAGCAUGAGGAAGAACUUUACAAUGAGGGUGGCAGAGCACAGGAAUAGGCUGCCCAUGGAGGUCCUGGAGUCUCCCUCUCUGGAGAUACUGGAAACUCACCUGGACAUGUUCCUGCUGUUAGGUGUCCCUGCCUUGGCAGGGGGGUUGAACUAGUUGUUCUCCGGAAGUCCCUUCCAACCCUAAUGAUUCUGUGAUUCUUCCAGGGAAGAACUUUUUAAAAUAAUGCCUGAGCCCAUGCCUAGUUUGGGCUUGCUUCUGGCAGAGCUCAGAGUUUGGCCUCCUGUCAUGUGGGAUCCGGCCCCAAAGUGGGAACUGCCGUGUGCGCUCCCAGCCCCCCUCACUACACAGACCCACAGGGAGCACUCCUGCUGCUGCUACGUGAAGAGACAGCUGAGAGAGGACCUCACUAAUGCCUCUCCCCAGGAUGGUGGCUGCAACAGCAGGCUUGUGAUCUCCUCUACCUGAAGACUUCUCCUGGAAAGGAGGACUACAUGUCUGCUCCAGUGUAACCAGCAGGAACAUUACCUCGGUGUUAGACCUUUCCCAGGAAAGCCAGAAAUAUGCCUGACAUUGUAAAUAUCCAC
rnacentral:lncRNA from 1 species